AUUUCAUUCAAGAACUGAUCCACUGUUCUGCUUUGCACUGUUUGCAUUCAAAGACUCUCAUUUUGCCUGAAUCAUUCUCCUCUCUCAUCCUAGCAGUGUCUACAGCAUUUUCUUGUUUUACAGUACUCUGAGGAUGUGGAUCUGUUGAAUAAAACUCUGAAUGACUUAGUGAAAAUAAAAUUAAAAAUCAAAGGAAAAACAAAUAAACAACCCUUGCAUCACCCACUAAUUAGAGUUUUAAUGGAAAAGAAGAAAGUAUUGUGCUGUAAAAUAAAUUACGUCUUGCAUGUACUGUAGUAUAGAUAUCUUAAAGUGUUUAAAUAUUACAUUCACUUUGGUGAUGUGCUUUUGCCUAUGCCUAUAAUAAAUUAUACGUGGCAUGUGCUAGUUAUUCAUGUGUGCUGAUAACAGCCUUCUGGUUUUACUACAAACGAGGAAAGGUUAGCACAUUUAGGGAAUUUGAAAAGUGUUUCUGGUUUAUCUAAGAGAGACACAGUCUAAUUCAAAGCAGCUUUCCUACUAUCAUGUUCCUCUCCCCCACGCUCCCAAAAAAGUU
rnacentral:lncRNA from 1 species